rnacentral:tRNA from 1 species
UGCCCCAUGGCUGAGUUGGUUACAGCGUCCGACUGUUAUCUACUAAGGGUUCUACCUUACAGGUACUUCAAUCGGAAGGUCGUGAGUUCGAGCCUCACUGGGGCAG